GUUCGUUCGUUCGUCCGACUUCAGGUUAAAGUUUUUGGUCAAGGUAGUUUUUGAUGAAGUUGAAGUCCAAUCCACUUGAAACUUAGUACACAUGUUCCCCAUGAUAUGAUUUUCUAAUUUAAUGCCAAAUUAUAGUUUUGACCCCAAUUUCAUGGUCAACUGAACAUAGAAAAUGAAAGUGCGAAGUUCAGGUUAAAGUUUUUGGUCAAGGUAGUUUUUGAUGAAGUUAGAGUCACAACUACUUGAAACUUAGUACACAUGUUCCCUUUGAUAUGAUCUUUCUAAUUUUAAUUCCAAAUUAAAGUUUUGACCCCAAUUUCACGGUCCACUGAACAUGGAAAAUUAUAGUGCGAGUGGGGCAUCCGUGUACUAUGGACACAUUCUUGUUUUAUAUUGUU
rnacentral:lncRNA from 1 species